AGGCGAGCCAAGUGCAUCUUUGAGCAUAUUUCUUUGUUUUCGUUUAAAACCUGAUGUCGCGGCAUUCAAUUACAGGCUAGCGUUUAUGACACACAAAGAGUCUCAAUGCGUAUAUCGCCAAACGCACGCGUGUCGUUGCGUCAGCUGAAAUAAGUGUACGCAGCGUGGUCCACGACGACGGCAAGAUGCUUCUUACUUUCACCUUUGUAGUUUUAUUUGCCUCGCUAGUGCAGGUGCAACAAGUUAUCAGCGCUGACAUAAGUCAAAGAUCAGGGAGAGCUGAAAUCGUAAAGGUCCUUUGCACGGCAGCCAUGAAGAAAAGGUGUAUGGAGAUGCGCCAGCGUUGCGACAUCUCACAGGGUGUCGCACAAUGCGUGAAACCUUACCCUACAGAAUAAAAACGCUUUUUGUUUCCGCAA